GGGGAAGUGGUGGAAUGGCAGACACGCAUGCUUCAGGUGCAUGUGCGAGAAAUCGCGUGAGGGUUCAAAUCCCUUCUUCCCCAU
rnacentral:tRNA from 2 species